GCGGGGCCGGGGCGGGGCGGGGCGAGGGGGCGGGGCGCCCGGGCGGUGACGUCACCGCAUGACUGGGUUUUUAUGAAUGAAAGGAAUCCUGUGAGUGAGUAAUUCCGGGAAGCUCGCCUUACAACUUCGCUGGGUCCCGGCCCCCCGCGCCGCCCGCGGGACAACAAAACGGCGCGCGCUCCCGGGAGCCGGGCUGCGAGCGGCCGGCGGCGGGACCGGAGGGAGGUGGCCCGGCGGGACGGCGGCUGGACCCGCGCGGCCAGGGGCGCCAGGCGGAGCGGGGCCGCGAGGCGGGUCUCCAGCGCAGAAGGUGCCUUCUGCAGACAUGUCUGUGGACCCCUUAUCCAGCAAAGCCCUCAAGGUGAGGAGGCAGCUCCUGUUGUGCCCAGUCCACCCUCCCUCCCUGUCUCCUUCCCCACCCCAACUUCCCUUCCCCCUGAGUUCCUGGAAUCCCCAAGGGUGACAUCACGGGGAGGGCCCCGCGCUGCAAACCAGGACAACACCCAUUUGCUGCAGAACCUCAAAGGUGCUUUCCAAGCUGGGGUUCUCUGGCUGCGGCCGGGACAGGCACGGGUUAGAAUUCCAGCCAGGCCCUGGGGUGACCUCGCGGAGGUUUCCCUUCCAGCCACCACCUCAGUGCCUCAAGCGGUGAAGGGGGCGCCCUGGGGGGGGGGAAGGGGAGUCCUACCCAGCACCUGCUGUGCACCAGACCCAGGGCCCGCAGGCGGGGCUGCGACCCGGGCCUCAGUUUCCCCACGCGUCCCGCAGAUCAAGCGCGAGCUGAGCGAGAACACGCCGCACCUGUCGGACGAGGCGCUGAUGGGCCUGUCGNNNNNNNNNNNNNNNNNNNNNNNNNNNNNNNNNNNNNNNNNNNNNNNNNNCACGACGGAGGCUGGUGGGGUUGGAGCAGACUGAGUGAGGGGAGCCCAGCAGGAAGGGAAGGCGGAGAGGGGUGUGUCGGGGGCAGAUCGCGGGUGCCCUGUCGGCCAUUAGGGUGACUUUGUCUUUUACUCCAAGGGAGGUGGGAGCCAUAGAAGGAUUGAGAGAAGUGACACAAUCUGCCUUAACACCCAGCCAUCUGGUGUCCCUCAUGGGAAAACUGAGGCAUAGAGACCUACCAAAGUCCCACAGCUUAUGAGUGGGGCGGCCUCCUAGCAGGCCCCAAAGUCCGUGCGCUUCUAUUUCACCGCAGCAUCUCCGGGAGACUCCAGGUCCUGUCAGGUGUCAGAGGCAGAGCUGUGCCUGAGAGAUGGGUGCCACAGGCAGCGCGAGGACCAGGGCCCGGACGCGGGCUCGUGCCCCUCUCUAGCAAACCGAAUGCUGCUGAGGUUGUCCCCCUGCCCUCCCCCAGGGGUUUUCAUAUGGAGAAACUCAGGCUGCCACCGCAUGGGAGGAGAUAGAUCAGCUGAGGGUGGAGAGGAUGGCUGCUUUAAAGGGGUCUUUGGGAGGAGGCCCCCUCCCAGCCCAGCACAACCAUGGCCCCUAGAAUGUACCCUCCACGAGUUUUCAGUUGCCUGUCUCCCCAGUGCCAAGCAAAUAGUAGAUGCUCAGUAAAUAUUUGUUAAACGAACACAGAGGCUUUCUGGCCUUGACUGGGCCCCUGCCCAGGCUAGGUUACGACUCCCACGUCUGCCAGGGGCAGUGCUGAGUUAGUGCCAGGCGCCAGGGGAGGGUGGCUGGGGGAGCGCCUA
rnacentral:lncRNA from 1 species